GGGCGCUUAGCUCAGUUGGUUAGAGCGCUUCGUUUACACCGAAGAGGUCGGGGGUUCAAGUCCCUCAGCGCCCA
rnacentral:tRNA from 1 species